rnacentral:rRNA from 1 species
GAUGAACGCUGGCGGCGUGCCUAAUACAUGCAAGUCGAGCGAACGGACGAGAAGCUUGCUUCUCUGAUGUUAGCGGCGGACGGGUGAGUAACACGUGGAUAACCUACCUAUAAGACUGGGAUAACUUCGGGAAACCGGAGCUAAUACCGGAUAAUAUUUUGAACCGCAUGGUUCAAAAGUGAAAGACGGUCUUGCUGUCACUUAUAGAUGGAUCCGCGCUGCAUUAGCUAGUUGGUAAGGUAACGGCUUACCAAGGCAACGAUGCAUAGCCGACGUGAGAGGGUGAUCGGCCACACGGGAACGGAGACACGCUCCAGACUCCUACGGGAGGCAGCAGUAUGGAAUCUUCCGCAAUGGGCGAAAGCCUUACGGAGCAACGCCGCGUGAGUGAUGAAGGUCUUCGGAUCGUAAAACUCUGUUAUUAGUGAAGAACAUAUGUGUAAGGAACUGUGCACAUCUUGACGGUACCUAAUCAGAAAGCCACGGCUAACUACGUG